AGGGAUUCCUCGAGAAGCUGCAGUGUGGGGAUGCUCUAGACCGAGUGCUGCCCCCACUGUCCGUCCACCUCCUCCUCCUGCAGCGGCGGCGGCAGCACUUGGCAGCGGCAACUUGAGGCUGCACCCGGGCAAGCCCCCAGGGUGGUGCUCCCCGGAGAGCGGGGCUUGGAGCCCCGGAGGGGUGUGUGUAGGGUGGGGGCGGCCAGCUGGGACCAGCUGGUGGCCCGGGAAAACCUCCCACACACCCACACCCACACCCCCCUUUUGUGUUGCAGGCUGCCCCUCCAAGAGCAGAGGCAGCGAAAGGAGUCGUGUGCGCCGGUCAGCCCCGGGAAGCUGUAGGGACCGGCGAGCAGGCAUCACCUCCUGUUCCCCGCUCCAGGAAAACAGGGAAAACAAGAACUAGCAAGAGCUUGACAAACACCUGGCUUCAGAUUGGAAGACCAGUCACCUGUCAUUCCUGGACACUGCACUGCAGCUGUCUAAG